rnacentral:rRNA from 1 species
UCGAGGAUCUUCGGCAAUGGGCGCAAGCCUGACCGAGCGACGCCGCGUGCGCGAUGAAGGCCUUCGGGUUGUAAAGCGCUGUCGAGGGGGAGGAAAGCCCGCAAGGGUCUGACCUAUCCCUGGAGGAAGCACGGGCUAAGUUUGUGCCAGCAGCCGCGGUAAGACAAACCGUGCGAACGUUGUUCGGAAUCACUGGGCUUAAAGGGCGCGUAGGCGGCUUGCCAAGUCAGGGGUGAAAUCUUUCGGCUUAACCGGAAAAGUGCUUCUGAUACUGGCAGGCUAGAGGGAGGUAGGGGCAUGUGGAACUUCCGGUGGAGCGGUGAAAUGCGUUGAUAUCGGAAGGAACGCCGGUGGCGAAAGCGACGUGCUGGACCUUUUCUGACGCUGAGGCGCGAAAGCUAGGGGAGCGAACGGGAUUAGAUACCCGGGUAGUCC